GUGAACCAGCGGAGGGAUCAUUA
rnacentral:ncRNA from 21 species